AGCGAACGCUGGCGGCAGGCUUAACACAUGCAAGUCGAACGGGCAUAGCAAUAUGUCAGUGGCAGACGGGUGAGUAACGCGUGGGAACGUACCUUUUGGUUCGGAACAACACAGGGAAACUUGUGCUAAUACUGGAUAAGCCCUUACGGGGAAAGAUUUAUCGCCGAAAGAUCGGCCCGCGUCUGAUUAGCUAGUUGGUAGGGUAAUGGCCUACCAAGGCGACGAUCAGUAGCUGGUCUGAGAGGAUGAUCAGCCACAUUGGGACUGAGACACGGCCCAAACUCCUACGGGAGGCAGCAGUGGGGAAUAUUGGACAAUGGGCGAAAGCCUGAUCCAGCCAUGCCGCGUGAGUGAUGAAGGCCAUAGGGUUGUAAAGCUCUUUUGUGCGGGAAGAUAAUGACGGUACCGCAAGAAUAAGCCCCGGCUAACUUCGUG
rnacentral:rRNA from 1 species